UGCCCGGAAGGCUGCCGUGUUUGAGAGCUGCACAGUGAGGAAGCGGCUCCUGAAGCCGGAGCGUCCACUGAGCGGCGCCGCAGCCCACAACUUCCACAUCCAGUCGCCGUUUCCUCCCCACUCACAACACGCUGCAGGCCAAUCCGCUCAUUCACUCUGUGUUGGGUUACAGUGACAAGGCCCCUGUCUGAACCACGACUUUUAGAAAGAUAAUAUUACAGGCUCACAGCUGAUCCAUCUCCCAGUGCACAAUUGAGACAGUGGAGGUUAAAACACUCUGAACGCAUGGGACCAUAUUGCAGCUGAAGAUGCUUGAUGACUACAAAGAGUCAGUGUUAGAGAAAAAGAAUUAAAGCGCCUCCCAGCACUCCUCCAUGUUCUCCUCCAUCUGCCUCCUGUCCAUUGAUCAGCCUUCCAGGGCAUCAGUCUGUUUAACAUCUGCUACAAGUUCCAGCAGCUCAGAUGCGCAGAGGCUGUAAUGAAGAGCUCUUGAACUCCCAGUCAGAGAAGCUGUGACAGGAGUUCAGGAGGAUGCCUCUUUGGCUCUACUGGACCUCUCUUACUGCCAAGCUGACUACCAUCCAAACCAGCAAGUGCCAGCAGCACUGCAACUCAUUUAGUUUGUGGCCCAGAGAUGUACCGCACAGCCCUGAUCCUGAUUACACAUGAUCAAAGAUGAGUUCUUCAACAAUUUGAUUACUUAUUUGAGCUUGAAUAAAAUCGACAUGGCCCGGUGCUGCGAAGUGUUCCUCUGAAACGACUAAUUGAAAAGAGUUUUAUAAUGGUUUAAUACAACAAUUGGCAUUUUCUUCAGGUUGACCUCAAUCAUUGGAGUAGGACUACAGUAUGUGCUGCAUUUAAUUACCUACAGUGAAAUUUGAUUAUCAGAAAAUAUGGUGCAUAUCAAGUGAUUUCCUGCCCUAAGUAAUAUUAUUCUGUAUAGUCAGAGUUGGAGAAAGAUGACAUGAGAACUUCAGUCAAGACAAAAGGCACAAGCUAAUGAGACUGGUUUGUGUAUAAUGUUUGGCUGGAGGUGACCAAGACACAUCAUACAAGGGACCUCCACUGCGGAUGAAAUUUAGCCUCGACCUCUAACCUUUGGGUUCAGCGUUUGUCUCCAGUCCAGUGACCACAAACAACUCCUGGAUUGCUGUAAAUGUCAGUGCAGCGGUGUCUCCGCCCUCUCCCCUGUGAACCAUAGUGCUGCACUCAACCUGCACUAAUAGGACACUUUCAUGAGAGCUCCAUUAUGAGUUAUGCUGUGUUUGAUAUCUCAGAUUUCCUGCCGAUAAUGCCUCCAUAAACUGAAUGACUGUCAAACAAACAGCAAUGAGUUUCUUUUUUUUUUUUUUUUGAUGCUUUCUUAAAUAUUCUUUCAAUCAGCUCUUCAAACCUUAAAUUUGCCAUCACCAAAGCUGAAGGAAGUUUAUAAAAUCUUGAAAUGUGAAGUAUUGUAUGAAUUCAGAAUUUUAUUUAUUUUUUUGGAGAUUUAAGAUGGAAAACUUUAAAAAUUAUAGCCUAAAGAGUGCAGGACGAGUUGCUGGAAGUGACCUAUUUAGCACACAAAGCAGCUGCUUCCAUCUAUCAUAAGGCUCGGUUAUAAUAGAUUGUAAUUCAUGUUCUGAAGACAUUGGUUGUAAUGCAUCCCAUUUUGAAGCACUUUGGCUCACCCUUCCCCCACCUAUAAACACACACGCUCCCUUUUUCUCCUCUCCGGGCCUCCCGAGGUUGGUGUCUCUGCGUUAGGACUCUAUUGUUGCCUACCGCUGGAUAAUGCCCUUAUUAAUUGUACCUCUUUGUAAGGUGUCAGCUGUAGCCUCAGAUUGAGAUGGAUGGAUCUCUGGAGUCUGCUCUCUGGCCCUCCACAGACGCUCUAUCUCUGCACAACACACAGAUGCAACAGUGAGUGCUGCCACACUAUGACUAAAAGCUGAGAUAAAACAGGCAUUUUUUAAUUAUUCCACCACAAAAAAAAAAAAAGGAAACAUGUUUCCAAACUGAAAAGCCUAUUUCUGUCAUUGGUGAGGUGAGCUAGCAUGCGAUGUGUUUUAAUUAUCUGAAUAUCUGAGCAGACGAUCCAUAGCAGUGAUGAAAUAUCUUUUUUUUAUUGAUUAUUUUAGUGUGUUGCAGAAAUACUGGUUAAUUAGGUGGAUUGAAGCCUCCGUGAGAUCAACAGCAUUAACAUCAAAUCCUUUCCCUCUCAUUAAAGGAAACAGAGUCAAUUUAAUUAAUGCAUAUUAAUCCCCGCUGAUGCUCAUUUUAGGAAAGCGUGGCAGUUUGGACGUCAGAUUCAUCCGUUUCAAAAAACUCAGGUUUGAUCACUUUCUGAAUCAACCUCAGUCUGAACAUUUUGACAGCAUUUUUCAUCAUCUUUAGCUCCCAAUAAUUGAAUUGCAGGUGGGGAUAUUGUCUGUAGAUAUGAUCGCCAACAAUGUUGCAAAUUGGAUUUUUUUGUGUGUGUUUACCUAUUAAUGUUCAAUUAGGACUAUAGGUGAUAAUUCAUUAAUGUAAUUUAUCGUCUCUUGAUAUAAUUGUGUUCACAAUAAAUGCCCAUAGUGAUA